rnacentral:miRNA from 1 species
GGGACCCUGGGAGAGAUGUAAG